GCUUGUCUCAAAGAUUAAGCCAUGCAUGUCUAAGUAUAACUCUUUUACUUUGAAAACUGCGAACGGCUCAUUAUAUCAGUUAUAGUUUCUUUGAUAGUCCCUUACUACUUGGAUACCCGUAGUAAUUCUAGAGCUAAUACGUGCGUAAAUCCCGACUCCUGGAAGGGACGUAUUUAUUAGAUUUAAGGCCAACCGAGCUUGCUCGUCUCUUGGUGAAUCAUGAUAACUUCACGAAUCGCAUGGCCUCGCGCCGGCGAUAUUUCAUUCAAAUUUCUGCCCUAUCAAUUGGCGAUGGUAGGAUAGAGGCCUACCAUGGUGUUAACGGGUGACGGGGGAUUAGGGUUCGAUUCCGGAGAGGCAGCCUGAGAAACGGCUACCACAUCCAAGGAAGGCAGCAGG
rnacentral:rRNA from 1 species